GAUCUCAGGGUGUCCAUGGAAGUACAGAGAGUUGGAGGAGACUGUCUUGUGUGAAGGUCACAGCUGGGCAUAGCCUGGGAGGAAAGAAGGGAUGAGACAGAUGGACUUGAGAGCAGCCUGUGGAAAGCUGCCACCCUGGAUGGCGGCAUCUGAUAUCUCUCGGUCAUAGUGAAGUGUUCAUGGGCACUGAAAACACAUUUCUUGCAAUGAACUUUUGGUGAAAUGGUGUUCUGGAAUCCCUCUUGGCUGUCAGGACCUGGGAGUGUUGGCAGUUCCAUCAGGGCCAAAGACCUGUGGUAUGUGCUGCUCUUUUGCUGGUCAUGGGAAAUGCAGGUGAGGGGACAGAACAGUGGGAAAGAUAAGAGUCUGAAGUCAGCCUGAGAGGGUAACUGUGGUUGACUCCAAGCAUUAAGAGGCCAUGUUCCUUCUGUGGGACCCCACCAUUCUUCACAUAUAACUGUAGGAUUUUCAGAGCCAGUGAUCAUGCCAGGUAAAACAUGUCACUAGUCAGCCCUCCUGGACCUGGGUGAUCCCUCAGCUCCUGAUGCUGUUUUCUGUCCCAACCAGAAACUCAGUCAACUUGAGGAGACCUGUCACAGUCCACAAUUUUUCUUUCUACUCUGAAGAGAAGGCACUGAUUGGGGCAGGUGGGAUGCAUCCCCUAAUCCUUUCUGCUCUGACCUGCUGUCACUGUCUUGUUUGUGUAUGUUACCAGAAACAGCAGAGCAGUCAACAUCAUGAGUCACCCUUGAAGGGGAGGUCCCAGGCUGAAGCCACAGUCAACUGUAUACCAAGGUCCUUUCCUGUUGGUGGCUGGGCAGUCUGAACACAAAGUCUUGCUGUGUCAGUGAGGGCCGGGCCCUGGGCCUCUCUAACUUCUGCUGUAGUUGCUGUGUCUGAUGCUCCUGCUGCUGAAACCUAGGUCAUGGGUUUGAAAACUUGAGUUUCCAAUCUGAAACCAGGACAGUUCUAUGUCAGAGAGGACAAUGUCUAGAUUUGAAAUGGAAUAGCAGGUCUGCCCGUUAUUUCUAAUGUGAGAAAUCUGGGGAUCUGUGCUCUUCACAUCGGGUGCUUCAAGAUACUACACAAGAGAAUGAGGGAUUGCCUGUCAAAUGUGUGCUGCUUCCCUUGGGGUUUCAAUCCCAAAAGCCCAUCCUAUGUUCAACAACAAAGUGGGUCCCCUGGAAGAGGCAGGGUUCAAAGCCCAGUGAGGAAUUCGGUACGCAGUUCAACUGGACAGGCAGAGUGUGUCAAGACCUGUGGGGCCUGAUGUCACAUUGAAGAGGUCAACUGUGGGAGGCUGAGCUGGAUCCCAGGUCCUGCAUAUCCUGGGCACCCAGUCUAGAGGAGAUGUCUUCAAUAUCAUAGGACUCUCCACUGUGGCAUUCCGGGAGCAUGCCCUCAAGUGCAGUGUUUGCUUACAAAACAUCCAUCCGCUUUCCAAUCCUCAGUCUUUCAUAUCUGAGGAGGCUUGAGAAGGGGACUCUACUGAUUUUUUCAUGGUAGCCAUGUGACAUAGAUCCUUGCAUUUCCUGGGCAUUGUGUUCUCAAUUGUGGGAUCUCUCACCACAAAGGCAGGUGGUUUAUUGUUGCUGAGGUUCAUGCCUGACUAGAACAAGACUUGACUGGAAAAAGAAGGUCAAUUCUCUCACAUAAGCAAGAGAUGGAGAAGGGAUGUGAGGCCAUUGUGCACAGGGAAGAAAUGUCCAGAUGGAAUCUUAUGUGAUAAUCUGGUGCCUGACAGAGGGACUACAGUCAAGGCUCAAAGGGGGACACCUCGAGAUCUCCCUGCAGUUCACAUGGACAGAUAAGAAUGAACUUGACCUAUAUUCUGAUAGCACGGUGUGGGGCAUCAGCCAGGUCUGGACACUAGCAUAUGCAGAUUAAAGUCUGGAUGGUUAAUAUCUCCUGCUGCAUGUCCAGUCCAUGGGACACUGGGCAACUCAAAAGUUCAUUGUGAUUGCAGUGCCACAGGAGUCUCCAGAGGGAACUAACUCCAUUCUCAAGAGCAGAGGAUACUGGGAUAGCCAUCCAAAGCAUCUGAUGAUCAGGCAAGAAGCACUGAGGGUGUCUUUAGCUCUACAUGCCAAGAAGAAAAUAAACUCAUUCUCAUGGGGCACUCAUGCUGGCCCUUUUUCUCCUACCUUCCUCCAUGUAUUCUAUGUCAAUCACCCAGAAGACAUUUCCUUCCAACAGUCACAGUAGAACCUUGCUCCAGAUUUUGGGAAACUCAGUUGGGAUGGGUUUCUGGGCCUCUCAGUCCUCCCAUGACUUUAUGGACAUUUAUAAUGUGUGCAGUCUCUGGAAGGUCAUGUUUCAGCUGGGAUUGAGCUGGGACUUUGCCACCAUCUAAUGCAGAAGCCCUUGUGCCAAUAUGUGAUCCUGUUGACAAGGCUGUUCUGCUCUUCAAGCCAAUGGAAUGAUUCACCUGUCUCCAUAUAAACACAGCCCAGCAUGCCCUUACUUUGUGCUACUGUUAUUAUGGUGAUGCUACGAGAAAAAUGACUUUGACAGUAUGAAGUGGAUGGGAAGACUUUGUGAGGCCCAGCUGUACCUGGGAAGUAGACAGCGAAACCACCGAUCCCCCUUCAGAACUGCUUUCUAUUUGGUGAACUGGUACAGAAGCUCUGUCACAGAGAAGGCAACAGUUUCUCCCCGAAUCACCUUCAGCCUUCAUUCUGAGUCUUCUAGAUGGGAAGAACCUGGAGGAGGGUCUCUCCAGAUGUGUCAGAGGGCGUCCCUGUGACCUGGGUCACUGCAUCUCUUGGGAUUUUGUUCCAGGUGUGGGAUAUCUGACAGAGCUGGGCUCACAGUUCUAGCCACGCAGCAUGUUCCUCACUUCCUGGCAUGUGCCUGCUCCAGUUCCCCUGUAGUACCAUGGGAGCUGUUCUUCCUCCACAGCCCUGACCCCGUUCUUACCGACAAGGAAUGAGGGAGAAGACUGAGUCUGAGUUUUGAGCCCAGCUUCUGGGCUUCCUUUGUGCCAUGAUCUGAGCUGUUCUUUUGUCAGUUUUCAUUGGAUGGACACGGCUAUAUGACAGGCCCUCAGGAGAGAUCAGAUCCCAGGUUCAGUUAAGUUGUCUACAGGGAGCUGGCAGAGUCCAGGACAAUCAGGAAGAGAAAGGUGCUGAGAAACUCAGUCAACUUGAGGAGACCUGUCACAGUCCAGGAUUUUUCUUUCUACUCUGAAAUGAAGGCACUGAUUGGGGCAGGUUGGAUGCAUCCCCUAAUCCUUUCUGCUCUGACCUGCUGUCACUGUCCUCUUUGUGGAUGUCACCAGAAACAGCAGCGAAGUCAACAUCAUGAGUCACCCUUGAAGGGGAUGUCCCAGGCUGAAGCCACAGUCAACUGUGCACCAAGGUCCUUUCCUAUUGGUGGCUGGGCAGUCUGAACACAAUCUCUUGCUCUGUCAGUGAGGGCCCAUUCCCUGGGCCUCUCUAACUUCUGCUGUAGUUGCUGUGUCUGAUGCUCCUGCUGAAAAACCUAGGUCAAGGGUUUGAAAAUUUGAGUUUCCAACAUCAAACCAGGACAGUUCUAUGUCAGAGAGGACAAUGUCUAGAUUUCAAAUGUCAGACCAGGUCCACCCGUUAUUCCUAAUGUGAGAAAUCUGGGCAUCUGUGCUCUUCCCAUCAUCGGGUGCUUCAAGAGACUACACAAGAGAAUCAGGGAUUGCCUGUUAAGUGUGUGCUGCUUCCCUUGGGGUUUCAAUCACAAAAGCCUAUCCUAUGUUCAACAACAAAGCAGCUCCCCUGAAAGAGGCAGGAGGCAGAGCCCAGUGAGGAACUGGGCACGCAGGUAUGGGAGGAGGCAUAUGUGAUUUGCACUUUAUUUUCUCUUCCUUUGCAUCUGGAAAAUAAGAAAUGUGUAUGGUUAUUUUGUGGGGAUCAAUGGGAUGUUCAGAUGUAUUUCUACACUAGCUGUAUUAAACCCUGCCAUUUAGCAUACUUCCUCAGGAAGUAAUCCUGCUGGAACAUACUCAGGUAGUGUCCAAUGUAACUAAACUAGCAGUAGACAACAAAACACUGUGAUUGGAGUGGGGUGGGUGGGUAUUGGGAAAUUAUUAAGGCCAUUCCACAUAGUUAAAAGGAAGAUUUAUUUAGUGGGUAACUUACAAAUUAAGGGAUAGGUAGGUCGCAGGGUCUGGGGAAGGUUAUUGCAGUCCAGCGUUGUUCUCUUGAGCUCUGCUUGGUUAACCUCCACUGUUUUGGGUCCAGGAAGAGAGAGAGCACUGGCCCCUCUCGAUCUUGGGUCUCCAGGGUUUUCCCUUGUCCCUGCCUUGUAGGCGUGACAGUUGCCGAAGCCUCAAUGGGGGUUGGAACUUCCAGAUCAAAGCUGGAAUGGCUACACACUACAGGUGGGAAGUGUUGUGAUGUGGAACUGUUGUCCACAGGGAACAGAUGUUCAUAUAGAAGACUCUGCUUGGGGAUCUAGGGCCUGGCAGAGUGACUAUGGUCAAAGCUCAAAGGGCCACUUCAAUGUCCCCCUACCGUUCAACUGGACAGACAGAGUGUGUCAAGACCUGUGGGGCCUGAUGUCACAUUGAAGAGGCCAACUGUGGGAGGCUGAACUGGAUCCCAGUUUCUGCAUACCAUCCGCUCCCACCGGUCUAGAAGAGAUGUCUGCAAUAUCACAGGACUCCCCACCAUGGCAUCUAGGAACUCUCCCUCAAAAGGAAGUGGUUGCUUACAAAACAUCCAUCAAUUUCCAAUCCUCAGUCUUUCACAUCUAAGGUGCCUGGGGAGGGGACUCUACUAAUUUUUCACGGCAGCCAUGUGACCUAUGUCUUUGUAUUUCCUGGGCAUUGUGUUCUCUAUUAUGGGAACUCUGAUUACAAAGGCAGGUUGUUCAUUGUUGCUGAGGCUCAUGCCUGACUAGAACAAGACUCGACUGGAAUAGGAUCAAUUGUCCAGAUGGAAUCUAAUGUGAUGAUCUGGUGCCUGACAGAGGGAUAUGGAAAAGGCUCAAAGGGGACAUCUCAAGAUCUCCCUGCAGUUUACAUGGACAGACAAGAAAUACGGAGCUCUGACCUGUAUUCUGAUAGCACAGUGUGGGGCAUCAGCCAGGUCUUGUCACAAGCAUCUGCAGAUGAAAGUCUGGAUAGUCAGUGUCUCCUGCUGCAUGUCCAGUCCAUGGGACACUGGGCAACCCAAGAAGUCAAUGUGAUUGCAGUGCCACAGGUGUCUCCAUGGGGAACUAACUCCAUUCUCAAGAGCAGAGGACACUGGGAUAGCCAUCCAAAGCAUCUGAUUAUCAGGUGAGAAGUGCUGAGUGUGUCUUCAAGCCCUACAAGCAAAGAAGAAAAUGAACUCAUUUUCAUGGGGCACUAAUGCUGGCCCUUUCCAACCCCCAAUUCCAUGUACUCUAGGUCCAAUUACCCAGUUGAUAUUACCUUACAACAAUCACAGUAGAACCAUGCUCCAGAUUAUAAGAAAGAUUUUUGGGACAGGGUUCUGGACCUUUCUGUCCUUCCAUGUCUGUAUGGACAUUUAGAAUGUGUGCAGUAUCUGGAAGGUCCUGUGCCAGCUGUAGGCUGGGCUGAGCUGGGGCUUUGCCACCAUCUAAUGCAGAAGCCCUUGUACCAAUAUGUGAUCCUGUUGACAAGGCUCUUCUGCCUUUCAAGCCGACAGGCUGAUUCACCUGUCUCCAUAUAAACACAGCCCAGCAUGCCCUUACCUGGUGAUACUGUCACUAUGGUGACACUAAGACAAGAAGAACUUUGACAGUAGGAAGUGGGGUGGGAAGAUGUUGUGAAGCCCAGCUGUACCUGGGAAGUAUACAGCGAAACCACCGAUCCCCCUUCAGACCUGCUUUCUAUACUGGUGUCCUUGUACAGAAGCUCUGUCACAGAGAAGGCAACAAUUUCUCCCUGAAUCUCCUUCAGCCUUCUUUCUGAGUCUUCUAGAUGGGAAGAACCUGGAGUAGGGUCUCUCCAGAUGUGUCAGAGGGUGGCCCUGUGACCCGGGUCACUGCAUCUCUUGGGACUUUGUUCCAGGUGUGGGAUGUCUGACAGAGCUGGGCUCACAGCUCUAGGUAUGCAGCCUGUUCCUCACUUCCCGGCAUGUGCCUGCUCUAGUCUCCCUGUGGCAUCAUGGGAGUGGUUCUUCCUCCACAGCCCUGACCCCAUUCUUACCUACAAGGAGUGAGAGCGAAGACUGGGUCUGAGGUUUGAGCCCAGCUUCUGGGCUGCCUUUGUACCAUGAUCUGAGCUGUUCUUUUGUCAGUUGUCAUUGGAUGGACACGGCCAUGUGACAGGUGCUCAGGAGGGAUCAGAUCCCAGGAUCGGGAGUCUGGUGUUCAAGCCAACACAGGGAACUGGCAGAGGCCAGGACAAUCAGAAAGACAAAGGUGCUGAGGUAAGUCCACAUGAAAAGAGGUAAACAGAGUCACGGACCUCAGAGGGUGCAUGAAAAUACAGGGGUUCGAGGAGCCUGUCUUGUGUGAAGGUCACAGCUGGGUAGGGUUCGGGAGGAAAGAAGGAAUGAGAAGAGGGACUUGAGAGGAGCCAUGUGUCACCUGAGUAGAGGUCCUGUCUUUUCAGGCCUACAUGUUGUUCCUACAUUUGAGAAAUCUGGGGAUCUGUGCCUGUCAUCUGGAAGCUGCUGAUGACUUCUCUCAGUGGAUCGCUAGUGUGAGAGCAGCAUGGAGAUCCUCCCAGGCUUUCUUCUCUUUAUAACUGCUCCUCCUUGGACGGUCGAUGGUGGAGCAAUGCUCAGAGCUUCUUAGAGCGUUCCUUUGCUGUCAUCUGGCAUGUGCCAUGCACUGACAGAGAUUCCCUCACCACCUUGCUGGAACUCUACAGAGGAUUCUUACACUGUACUUGGAAAUCUGAGAAUUGGAGGGAUUCAGGCAGUGUGCCCCGGGUCCCUCAGAAUGAGUGGGGAGCCAGAGCUCGAUGAUAUUGUCAGACAGAGAGAACCAUCAGACAUCUGCCACCUGUUUUCCCUGAGUGGUCAGUGUGAUUAUCUGGAACAAGACUGCUCAGGUUCAUUUCCACUGGGAUGAUUUUGACUUACACUUCCGGGUUGUAGUCCAUUACACAGGGAAGUCAGGGCACAAACACAUAGCGGCUAGUCAUAUCAUAGCCACAGUGAAGAGCAGACAGAAAUACAUGCACACAAUUGAGCUUGCUUGCUUGUGUCCACUAGAGAUCCCAACUCCUGUGCAGACUGGGACCCAAGCCCAGGGAAUGGCCCUGCCCUGAAGAGUUGGUUCUGCCCAUAUGAAUUAAGACAAUCCAAUAGCUCCUCUAUAGUCACGCUCACAGGCUAUUCUCAAGUUGUGACACCCUUCCUUCCAUGAACGGGUAGCGACUUUCAGUCCUUGUUCCUACUAGUAGCCUAGGCUUGAGCAGAGUCAGUCGAUUUCAGCUCCAUCAUGGUGGGGAACCUAAUGGACAUGAAGCAGUGUCAGAACUUGCUGGAGAAGUCUGUGACUACUCUGGGGGAGUGGGAGCCUGGACCUUGGCCCACACAUGUGCUGUUCUCCUUCUUUGGAUGCCAGUCAGGACAACGAGAUCUCUGUCCCUCAGAAUUGACUUGGUUGUUGAUUUAGGGAAUCUCCAACAUAUCAGUCUAGUUCUCUGACUUUAGAUCAUAUUUAAUCUUAGUAUUCUAGAUGAUUUACCCCUGUUCUUUAUGCCCGGUUUACUUUACCACACUUUAUGUGGCUGUAAUAUUUAAGUAUGUAACGUUUUAGGACAUGGCUACCCCCAUUGGCAUGCUCAGAGCCUUUGCCCAGGGGUGCUCUUAUUUACCUGUGAGGAGAGCAAGCCAGGAACUUGUAUCCUUACUCAGGGAUGAGAACAAACUAAAUCUCAGAGCAUGACCUUCCACAGUGUGGUCCCUGAGCCUGGAAGCUCCUGGCUCCACUGUUCAAGCAUCUUUGUCUAUUCUGUGUUGGGACCUUUUCCAUCCCUUACUUGGUAGUGUCCACAGAGCCUUCUGUAGAAACUGGAGUCCAGAAAGCCCAGGGCAGGGUUUCCAGCAGGACCUUGACCCAUGUUGGUUCUCCUGGCUUUCAUCCCUGCCUUCGCCAAUCAAUGUUCUCAUGUCUGUCCUUAGAGCUCGUCUGCUCCCGUGCCCUGCACUCAGUGAGGAGGUUGGGAGCAAGUGUCAAAUGAAUGAAAUACAGGCUCUGGAUUCUCUCAGAAAGCCUGCUUCAGAACCCUGAGGCUUUGAGAAGCCAACAACCUGUUCAAGAACAAAUAUUCUCUGAGGCCAUGAAGACAAGGGCACACUAACAAAUCCACAUAGUCCUGUCUCCCAGAAGCCAGGUCAAGGUGUUGCUGUCAGAAGGGCAGGUGAUACGAGCCACUCAGAACUUCACUAUGAAACAGAGCCAAGACUCAGAUUACUUUUUCCACAGUUUUCCUCAGUCUCAUCUUAGAACUGAAGAUCACCCAGGACAUCUUCUUUUCCUUGAAGUAUGAAGAAUAGGGUUCUUAGUGUGUUCAGGACUGCCCGGGAAGCGGUGUCCAUGCCUGGAAGACAUCUGACCACCAGUUGGAAGGCACUCAAGUGACCCCAGAACGGUAAAAUUAAAAACCAUCCAAAGAUUCAACAGUACAAUGAGAGAGAAAAGAGCCUACAAGCUGAAUGAAUUCAGCCAAGUCCUGCAAUGCCCGAGGUCCACUGUUCUUUGCCAAGUGAGAGACCAUC